GCGGAGGAAAAGAAAAUAACAAUGAUUUCCCUAGUAACGGCGAGUGAAGAGGAAAGAGCUCAAAGUUGGAACCUGUUUGGCUUAGCCAAACCGGAUUGUAAACUGUAGAAGUGUUUUCCAGACACGCCUGGUAAAAAAGUCCUUUGGAACAGGGCAUCAUAGAGGGUGAGAAUCCCGUCUUUGGCCAGAGCUGUUGUCUUUUGUGAUACAUUUUCAAAGAGUCAGGUUGUUUGGGAAUGCAGCCUAAAUUGGGUGGUAAAUCUCACCUAAAGCUAAAUAUUUGCGAGAGACCGAUAGCGAACAAGUACCGUGAGGGAAAGAUGAAAAGAACUUUGAAAAGAGAGUUAAACAGUAUGUGAAAUUGUUAAAAGGGAACCGUUUGGAGCCAGACUGGCUUGACUGUGAUCAAUCUAGGCUUCGGCCUGGAUGCACUUGCGGUUUAUGCCUGCCAACGACAAUUUUUUUUGAGGGAAAAAACUAUUUGGAAUGUGGCCCCCUUUCGGGGGGGUGUUAUAGCCUUAUAGAAAAUACCUUGAAUUGGAUUGAGGAACGCAGUGAAUGCCUUUAGGCAAGAUUGCUGGGCGCUUUCGCUAAUAAAUGCUAGAAUUUCUGCUUCGGGUGGUGCUAGUGUUUAAAGGAGAAACUCGCUUGGUAUAUUUU
rnacentral:rRNA from 1 species